rnacentral:rRNA from 1 species
AUUGAACGCUGGCGGUAUGCUUAACACAUGCAAGUCGAACGAGUAGUUACUUCGGUAACGAGAGUGGCGGACGGGUGAGUAACGCGUAGGAAUCUGCCUGUUAGUGGGGGACAACGUGGGGAAACUCACGCUAAUACCGCAUACGCCCUACGGGGGAAAGGAGGGGAUCUUCGGACCUUUCGCUAACAGAUGAGCCUGCGUAGGAUUAGCUAGUUGGUAGGGUAAAGGCCUACCAAGGCCACGAUCGGUAGCUGGUCUGAGAGGAUGAUCAGCCACACUGGGACUGAGACACGGCCCAGACUCCUACGGGAGGCAGCAGUGGGGAAUAUUGGACAAUGGGCGCAAGCCUGAUCCAGCAAUGCCGCGUGUGUGAAGAAGGCCUGCGGGUUGUAAAGCACUUUCAGUGGGGAAGAACAGAUUCGGGUCAAUACCCCGGAGCCCUGACGUUACCCACAGAAGAAGCACCGGCUAACUCCGUGCCAGCAGACGCGGUAAAGUAGUCGUGU